AUUUGUUCAAUUAUUAUUAUUAUUAUUAUUAUUAUUUGCAGUUUGUUUGUCAAGUCCAAGCAAAACUGAGUGCAGCUGUGAGAAUCAGUAUAUCUGGUCCUCUGAACAAUGCUCUAAACAUGGUGUUUGUGACUACAGUCAAAAUAACACAUGUGGAUGCAUCACUUCUCUUCCAACUGAUAGGUCAUUCUGUCGGCCACCACCAGGUACAAUAAACUUUUUUUUUUUUCAUUUUGACAUGGUUUCUGAACGGAUAAUUAUUUUCAUUUUGUUACAUUUUUUCAGCUUACAUGAAGUCAUUCAGAUACACCAUUUACAUAAAAGUUAAUGCUUCAAAUAAAGCUGUGAUCGACCGUUUAAGGGCAAUGAUCAGUGGACCGAAAUUUCCAAUGUGUGUCAAGAAAGGCAUAAAAAUAUCCAGUACAAACAUCACUACAGUUUGUCUCUCAAAUAUGAGCAAAACUGAGUGCAGCUGUGAGAAUCAGUACAUCUGGUCCUCUGAUCAAUGCUUUAAAUAUGCGGUUUGUGGCUCAAGUCAAAAUACCAGAUGUGGAUGCAUCACUUCUCUCUUCUCAACUGAUGGGUCAUUCUGCCGACCACAACCUGCUUACUUAAAGUCAUUCAGAUACACCAUUGAAAUAAAAGCCAACACUUUAAGAAAAGCUGUAAUCGACCAAUUGAAGGCGAUGAUCAAUGGACAGAAAUCUCCAAUUUGUGUCAAGAAAGACAUGAAAAUCUCCAGUGCAAACAUCACUACAGGUGAGA
rnacentral:lncRNA from 1 species